AGCGAACGCUGGCGGCAGGCUUAACACAUGCAAGUCGAACGCCCCGCAAGGGGAGUGGCAGACGGGUGAGUAACACGUGGGAACGUACCCUUUGGUUCGGAAUAACUUGGGGAAACUCAAGCUAAUACCGGAUAAGCCCUUAUGGGGAAAGGUUUACUGCCGAAGGAUCGUCCCGCGGCUGAUUAGCUAGUUGGUGAGGUAAUGGAUCACCAAGGCGACGAUCAGUAGCUGGUCUGAGAGGAUGAACAGCCACACUGGGACUGAGACACGGUCCAGACACCGACGGGUGGCAGCAGUGGAUAAUAUUGUACAAUUGUUGCAACCCUUUGCCAGCCAUGCCGCGUGAGUGAUGAAGGCUUUAGUGUUGUAAAGCUCUUUUACCCGGGACGAUAAUGACUGUACCGGGAGAAUAAGCCCCGGCUAACGUCGUACCAUCCGCCGCCGUAA
rnacentral:rRNA from 1 species